CCUACGGGGGGCAGCAGUGGGGAAUCUUCCGCAAUGGGCGAAAGCCUGACGGAGCAACGCCGCGUGAUCGAAUGAAGGCCUUCGGGUUGUAAAGAUCUGUUGACAGGGACGAAUAAGCAAUGCGAAUAGUUUUGUGUAUGACGGUACCUGUUUAGAAAGCUCCGGCUAACUACGUGCCAGCAGCCGCGGUAAUACGUAGGGAGCAAGCGUUGUCCGGAAUUACUGGGCGUAAAGGGCGCGUAGGUGGGCGCUUAAGUCAGGUGUGAAAACUCCGGGCUCAACCUGGAGACUGCAUUUGAAACUGUUGAUCGUGAGUACUGGAGAGGCAGACGGAAUUCCUAGUGUAGCGGUGAAAUGCGUAGAUAUUAGGAGGAACACCAGUGGCGAAGGCGGUCUGCUGGACAGCAACUGACGGUGAGGCGCGAAAGCGUGGGGAGCAAACAGGAUUAGAUACCCGAGUAGUC
rnacentral:rRNA from 1 species